GGGAAUCUUGCACAAUGGGGGCAACCCUGAUGCAGCGACGCCGCGUGAGCGAUGAAGCCCUUCGGGGCGUAAAGCUCUUUCGACCGGAACGAUAAUGACGGUACCGGGAGAAGAAGCUGCGGCUAACUACGUGCCAGCAGCCGCGGUAAUACGUAGGCAGCAAGCGUUGUUCGGCGUUACUGGGCGGAAAGAGUGCGUAGGCGGUUUUCUAAGUUCGGAGUGAAAUCUCCCGGCUUAACUGGGAGGGUGCGCCGAAGACAGGGAAGCUGGAGGGUGGGAAAGGCAAGCGGAAUUCCUGGUGUAGCGGAGAAAUGCGUAGAUAUCAGGAGGAACACCGGCGGUGUAGACGGCUUGCUGGACCAUAACUGACGCUGAGGCACGAAAGCGUGGGUAGCAAACA
rnacentral:rRNA from 1 species